rnacentral:rRNA from 1 species
GGCGCACGGACACACUGGAACUGAAACACGGUCCAGACUCCUACGGGAGGCAGCAGUGGGGAAUUUUGCGCAAUGGGGGAAACCCUGACGCAGCAACGCCGCGUGGAGGAUGAAAUCCCUUGGGAUGUAAACUCCUUUCGAUCGGGACGAUUAUGACGGUACCGGAAGAAGAAGCCCCGGCUAACUUCGUGCCAGCAGCCGCGGUAAUACGAGGGGGGCGAGCGUUGUUCGGAAUUAUUGGGCGUAAAGGGUGCGUAGGCGGUUUGAUAAGUCUUGUGUGAAAUCUCUGGGCUCAACCCAGAGUCUGCACAGGAAACUGUCGGGCUUGAGUAUGGGAGAGGUGAGUGGAAUUUCCGGUGUAGCGGUGAAAUGCGUAGAUAUCGGAAGGAACACCUGUGGCGAAAGCGGCUCACUGGACCAUUACUGACGCUGAUGCACGAAAGCUAGGGGAGCAAACAGGAUUAGAUACCCUGGUAGUCCUAGCCCUAAACGAUGAUUGCUUGAUGUGGAGGGUACCCAAUCCUUCCGUGUCGAAGCUAACGCGAUAAGCAAUCCGCCUGGGGAGUACGGUCGCAAGGCUGAAACUCAAAGGAAUGACGG